UUCUUAUCAAGAGUGGUGGAGGGACUGGCCCAAUGAAGCCCGGCAACCGGAAAAAGGUAUGGGUGCCCUUUUUCUUGGUGCCAAUUCCAGCAGGUAUUUUUAAAAUACCUGGCAGAUAAGAA
rnacentral:ncRNA from 23 species